GAUGAACGCUGGCGGCAUGCCUAACACAUGCAAGUCGAACGCGAGUAGGGGCAACCUUACUUGAGUGGCGGACGGGUGCGUAAUACGUAGGAAUCUUCCCUAGAGCGGGGGAUAACCCGGGGAAACUCGGGCUAAUACCGCAUAAUCUCUACGGAGCAAAGGGGGGUCGCAAGACCUUUCACUUUAGGAUGAGCCUACGUCGGAUUAGCUUGUUGGUGAGGUAAAGGCUUACCAAGGCGACGAUCCGUAGCUGGUCUGAGAGGACGACCAGCCACACUGGGACUGAGACACGGCCCAGACUCCUACGGGAGGCAGCAGUGGGGAAUAUUGGACAAUGGGGGCAACCCUGAUCCAGCAAUGCCGCGUGUGUGAAGAAGGCCUUCGGGUUGUAAAGCACUUUCAGUGGGGAAGAAAUGCUAACGGUUAAUACCCGUUAGCUAUGACGUUACCCAAAGAAGAAGCACCGGCUAACUCUGUGCCAGCCGCCGCCGUAA
rnacentral:rRNA from 1 species